GCAGUGGAGGUUCAGUGGUAGAAUUCCCACCUUCUGUGUGGGAGACCAGGAUUCAAUUUCUGGCUAAUGCA
rnacentral:tRNA from 1 species